rnacentral:rRNA from 1 species
UGCCAGCAGCCGCGGUAAUACGGAGGAUCCAAGCGUUAUCCGGAUUUAUUAGGUUUAAAGGGUGCGUAGGCGGAAUUAUAAGUCAGUGGUGAAAUCCUGCAGCUUAACUGCAGCACUGCCAUUGAUACUGUUAUUCUUGAGUACGGUUGAGGUAGGCGGAAUGUGUAGUGUAGCGGUGAAAUGCUUAGAUAUUACACAGAACACCGAUUGCGUAGGCAGCUUACCAAACCGUAACUGACGCUGAGGCACGAAAGCGUGGGGAUCGAACAGGAUUAGAUACCCUGGUAGUCCACGCCGUAAACGAUGAUUACUCGUUGUGCGCGAUAUACAGUGCGUGACUGAGCGAAAGCAUUAAGUAAUCCACCUGGGGAGUACGUUCGCAAGAAUGAAACUCAAAUGAAUUGACGG